GAUGAACGCUGGUGGCGUGCCUAAUACAUGCAAGUCGAGCGAACGGACGAGAGGCUUGCUUCUCUGAUGUUAGCGGCGGACGGGUGAGUAACACGUGGAUAACCUACCUAUAAGACUGGGAUAACUUCGGGAAACCGGAGCUAAUACCGGAUAAUAUUUUGAACCGCAUGGUUCAAAAGUGAAAGACGGUCUUGCUGUCACUUAUAGAUGGAUCCGCGCUGCAUUAGCUAGUUGGUAAGGUAACGGCUUACCAAGGCAACGAUGCAUAGCCGACCUGAGAGGGUGAUCGGCCACACUGGAACUGAGACACGGUCCAGACUCCUACGGGAGGCAGCAGUAGGGAAUCUUCCGCAAUGGGCGAAAGCCUGACGGAGCAACGCCGCGUGAGUGAUGAAGGUCUUCGGAUCGUAAAACUCUGUUAUUAGGGAAGAACAUAUGUGUAAGUAACUGUGCACAUCUUGACGGUACCUAAUCAGAAGGCCACGGCUAACUACGUG
rnacentral:rRNA from 1 species